UGUAGGAGCCGGCUUGCUGGCGAUGGAGUGUCAGACACAUCGAUGUUGACUGACACUCCAUCGCCAGCAAGUCGGCUCCUACA
rnacentral:misc_RNA from 1 species